rnacentral:tmRNA from 1 species
GGGGGCGACACGGCUUCGACGGGGGUGAUGGAUCCACGGGAUGCAUGCCGAGCACCAUCGACUCGUAAAUCCGAUGGAAACCGAGGUAACUGCGGACACGCAGCUGCCUCUGGCCGCGUAAUAGACGCGACCCGUCCGCCCCACCAU